rnacentral:tRNA from 1 species
AGCGCACCCCUGGUAAGGGUGAGGUCGGCAGUUCGAAUCUGCCCAGACCCACCAGUUACCUGGUGAAGUUGGUCAGAGCGCGUACGACACCCGGAUACGGGGCCAUAGCUCAGCUGGGAGAGCGCCUGCCUUGCACGCAGGAGGUCAGCGGUUCGAUCCCGCUUGGCUCCACCACUUACUGCUUCUGUUUGAAAGCUUAGAAAUGAGCAUUCCAUCCUGAUUGAAGGGUGCGUG